rnacentral:rRNA from 1 species
ACAGGGAUUGCCCUAGUAACGGCGAGUGAAGCGGCAACAGCUCAAAUUUGAAAUCUGGCUCUUUUAGAGUCCGAGUUGUAAUUUGCAGAGGGCGCUUUGGCUUUGGCAGCGGUCCAAGUUCCUUGGAACAGGACGUCACAGAGGGUGAGAAUCCCGUACGUGGUCGCUAGCUAUUGCCGUGUAAAGCCCCUUCGACGAGUCGAGUUGUUUGGGAAUGCAGCUCUAAAUGGGAGGUAAAUUUCUUCUAAAGCUAAAUACUGGCCAGAGACCGAUAGCGCACAAGUAGAGUGAUCGAAAGAUGAAAAGCACUUUGGAAAGAGAGUCAAACAGCACGUGAAAUUGUUGAAAGGGAAGCGCUUGCAGCCAGACUUGCUUGCAGUUGCUCACCCGGGCCUCUGUGCCCGGUGCAUUCUUCUGCAGGCAGGCCAGCAUCAGUUUGGGCGGUGGGAUAAAGGUCUCUGUCACGUACCUCUCUUCGGGGAGGCCUUAUAGGGGAGGCGACAUACCACCAGCCUGGACUGAGGUCCGCGCAUUUAUGCUAGGAUGCUGGCGUAAUGGCUGUAAGCGGCCCGUCUUGAAACACGGACCAAGGAGUCUAACAUCUAUGCGAGUGUUUGGGUGUCAAGCCCGAACGCGUAAUGAAAGUGAACGGAGGUGGGAACCCGCAAGGGUGCACCAUCGACCGAUCCUGAUGUCUUCGGAAGGAUUUGAGUAAGAGCAUGGCUGUUGGGACCCGAAAGAUGGUGAACUAUGCUUGAAUAGGGUGAAGCCAGAGGAAACUCUGGUGGAGGCUCGCAGCGGUUCUGACGUGCAAAUCGAUCGUCAAAUUUGGGCAUAGGGGCGAAAGACUAAUCG